UACGAAGGGGGCGAGCGUUGUUCGGAAUUACUGGGCGUAAAGGGCGCGUAGGCGGCGACUCAAGUUAGAUGUGAAAGUCCUGGGCUUAACCUGGGGACUGCAUUUGAUACUGGUUGGCUUGAGACCGGAAGAGGACAGCGGAACUGCGAGUGUAGAGGUGAAAUUCGUAGAUAUUCGCAAGAACACCAGUGGCGAAGGCGGCUGUCUGGUCCGGUUCUGACGCUGAGGCGCGAAAGCGUGGGGAGCAAACAGG
rnacentral:rRNA from 1 species